UACAGAGGUCUCAAGCGUUGUUCGGAUUCAUUGGGCGUAAAGGGUGUGUAGGUGGCGCCGUAAGUCGGGUGUGAAAUUUCGGAGCUUAACUCCGAAACUGCAUUCGAUACUGCGGUGCUUGAGGACUGGAGAGGAGACUGGAAUUCAUGGUGUAGCAGUGAAAUGCGUAGAGAUCAUGAGGAAGACCAGUGGCGAAGGCGGGUCUCUGGACAGUUCCUGACACUGAGACACGAAGGACCAGGGGAGCAAACGGG
rnacentral:rRNA from 1 species